rnacentral:rRNA from 1 species
GUCGCUCCUACCGAUUUCGAGUGGUCCGGUGAAGCUUUUGGACUGCUUAUGGCUUCGUGCCAUGAGCGGAAAGUCAGCUAAACCUUAUCACUUAGAGGAAGGAG